rnacentral:rRNA from 1 species
UACGUAGGGCGCAAGCGUUGUCCGGAAUUAUUGGGCGUAAAGAGCUCGUAGGCGGCUUGUCACGUCGGGUGUGAAAGCCCGGGGCUUAACCCCGGGUCUGCAUUCGAUACGGGCUAGCUAGAGUGUGGUAGGGGAGAUCGGAAUUCCUGGUGUAGCGGUGAAAUGCGCAGAUAUCAGGAGGAACACCGGUGGCGAAGGCGGAUCUCUGGGCCAUUACUGACGUGGAGGAGCGAAAGCGUGGGGAGCAAACAGG